UGCAUGGCUGUCGUCAGCUCGUGCCGUGAGGUGUUCGGUUAAGUCCGCAAACGAGCGCAACCCUCGGCGUUAGUUACAAGUGUCUAACGCAACUGCCCGUGAGAAACGGGAGGAAGGUGGGGAUGACGUCAAGUCAGCAUGGCCUUUAUAUCUAGGGCUACACACACGCUACAAUGGGCGGUACAACGGGUCGCGAAGCCGCGAGGUGGAGCCAAUCCAUAAAGCCGUUCGUAGUUCGGAUUGCAGGCUGCAACUCGCCUGC
rnacentral:rRNA from 14 species